rnacentral:rRNA from 1 species
CCUACGGGAGGCAGCAGUGAGGAAUAUUGGUCAAUGGGCGAGAGCCUGAACCAGCCAAGUCGCGUGAGGGAGUACUGCCCUAUGGGUUGUAAACCUCUUUUGUCGGGGAGCAAAAGCCGGACGUGUCCGGCUGUGAGAGUACCUGAAGAAAAAGCAUCGGCUAACUCUGUGUCAGCAGCCGCGGUAAUACGGAGGAUGCGAGCGUUAUCCGGAUUUAUUGGGGUUAAAGGGUGCGCAGGCGGAUUUUUAAGUCAGCGGUCAAAUCGUGGGGCUCAACCCCAUCCAGCCGUUGAAACUGGGGAUCUAGAGUGUGCGAGAGGUAUGCGGAAUGCGUGGUGUAGCGGUGAAAUGCAUAGAUAUCACGCAGAACCCCGAUUGCGAAGGCAGCAUACCGGUGCACAACUGACGCUCAGGCACGAAAGCGUGGGUAUCGAACAGGAUUAGAUACCCUAGUAGUC